rnacentral:rRNA from 1 species
AUGGGGGCAACCCUGAUCCAGCAAUGCCGCGUGUGUGAAGAAGGCCUUCGGGUUGUAAAGCACUUUUGUCCGGGAAGAAAUCGCACCUGAUAAUACCGGGUGUGGAUGACGGUACCGGAAGAAUAACGACCGGCUAACUACGUGCCAGCAGCCGCGGUAAUACGUAGGGUCCAAGCGUUAAUCGGAAUUACUGGGCGUAAAGCGUGCGCAGGCGGUUGUGCAAGACCGAUGUGAAAUCCCCGGGCUUAACCUGGGAAUUGCAUUGGUGACUGCACGGCUAGAGUGUGUCAGAGGGGGGUAGAAUUCCACGUGUAGCAGUGAAAUGCGUACAGAUGUGGAGGAAUACCGAUGGCGAAGGCAGCCCCCUGGGAUAACACUGACGCUCAUGCACGAAAGCGUGGGGAGCAAACAGGAUUAGAUACCCUGGUAGUCCACGCCCUAAACGAUGUCAACUAGUUGUUGGGGAUUCAUUUCCUUAGUAACGUAGCUAACGCGUGAAGUUGACCGCCUGGGGAGUACGGUCGCAAGAUUAAAACUCAAAUGAAUUGACGGAA